GCCCAGGUGGCGGAAUUGGUAGACGCGCUGGUUUCAGGUACCAGUGGCGCAAGUCGUGGAGGUUCGAGUCCUCUCCUGGGCACCA
rnacentral:tRNA from 1 species